rnacentral:rRNA from 1 species
AUACGUAGGUGGCAAGCGUUGUCCGGAAUUAUUGGGCGUAAAGCGCGCGCAGGCGGUCCUUUAAGUCUGAUGUGAAAGCCCACGGCUCAACCGUGGAGGGUCAUUGGAAACUGGGGGACUUGAGUGCAGAAGAGGAAAGUGGAAUUCCAAGUGUAGCGGUGAAAUGCGUAGAGAUUUGGAGGAACACCAGUGGCGAAGGCGACUUUCUGGUCUGUAACUGACGCUGAGGCGCGAAAGCGUGGGGAGCAAACAGGAUUAUAUACCCUGGUUGUCCACGCCGUAAACGAUGAGUGCUAAGUGUUAGGGGGUUUCCGCCCCUUAGUUCUGCAGCUAACGCAUUAAGCACUCCGCCUGGGGAGUACGGUCGCAAGACUGAAACUCAAAUGAAUUGACGGGU